GAUGAAGGGCGUGCUAAUCUGCGAUAAGCGCCGGUAAGGUGAUAUGAACCGUUAUAACCGGCGAUACCCGAAUGGGGAAACCCAGUGUGACUCGUCACACUAUCAUUAACUGAAUCCAUAGGUUAAUGAGGCGAACCGGGGGAACUGAAACAUCUAAGUACCCCGAGGAAAAGAAAUCAACCGAGAUUCCCCCAGUAGCGGCGAGCGAACGGGGAGGAGCCCAGAGCCUGAAUCAGCAUGUGUGUUAGUGGAAGCGUCUGGAAAGGCGCGCGAUACAGGGUGACAGCCCCGUACACAAAAGCGCAUGUGCUGUGAGCUCGAUGAGUAGGGCGGGACACGUGGUAUCCUGUCUGAAUAUGGGGGGACCAUCCUCCAAGGCUAAAUACUCCUGACUGACCGAUAGUGAACCAGUACCGUGAGGGAAAGGCGAAAAGAACCCCGGCGAGGGGAGUGAAAAAGAACCUGAAACCGUGUACGUACAAGCAGUGGGAGCACCCUUUGGGUGUGACUGCGUACCUUUUGUAUAAUGGGUCAGCGACUUAUAUUCUGUAGCAAGGUUAACCGAAUAGGGGAGCCGGAGGGAAACCGAGUCUUAAUUGGGCGUUAAGUUGCAGGGUAUAGACCCGAAACCCGGUGAUCUAGCCAUGGGCAGGUUGAAGGUUGGGUAACACUAACUGGAGGACCGAACCGACUAAUGUUGAAAAAUUAGCGGAUGACCUGUGGCUGGGGGUGAAAGGCCAAUCAAACCGGGAGAUAGCUGGUUCUCCCCGAAAGCUAUUUAGGUAGCGCCUCGUGAAUUCAUCUCCGGGGGUAGAGCACUGUUUCGGCUAGGGGGCCAUCCCGGCUUACCAACCCGAUGCAAACUGCGAAUACCGGAGAAUGUUAUCACGGGAGACACACGGCGGGUGCUAACGUCCGUCGUGAAGAGGGAAACAACCCAGACCGCCAGCUAAGGUCCCAAAGUCAUGGUUAAGUGGGAAACGAUGUGGGAAGGCCCAGACAGCCAGGAUGUUGGCUUAGAAGCAGCCAUCAUUUAAAGAAAGCGUAAUAGCUCACUGGUCGAGUCGGCCUGCGCGGAAGAUGUAACGGGGCUAAACCAUGCACCGAAGCUGCGGCAGCGACACUGUGUGUUGUUGGGUAGGGGAGCGUUCUGUAAGCCUGUGAAGGUGUGUCGUGAGGCAUGCUGGAGGUAUCAGAAGUGCGAAUGCUGACAUAAGUAACGAUAAAGCGGGUGAAAAGCCCGCUCGCCGGAAGACCAAGGGUUCCUGUCCAACGUUAAUCGGGGCAGGGUGAGUCGACCCCUAAGGCGAGGCCGAAAGGCGUAGUCGAUGGGAAACGGGUUAAUAUUCCCGUACUUGGUGUUACUGCGAAGGGGGGACGGAGAAGGCUAUGUUGGCCGGG
rnacentral:rRNA from 1 species